GAUGAACGCUAGCGGCAGGCCUAAUACAUGCAAGUCGAACGGUAGACUACUUUCGGGUAGUUGAGAGUGGCGCACGGGUGCGUAACGCGUAUGCAACCUACCUUGUACAGGGGGAUAGCCCGGAGAAAUUCGGAUUAAUACCCCAUAGCAUUAUCAGAUGGCAUCUGAAGAUAAUUAAAGAUUUAUCGGUACAAGAUGGGCAUGCGUGACAUUAGUUAGUUGGUAAGGUAAAGGCUUACCAAGACGAUGAUGUCUAGGGGUUCUGAGAGGAUGAUCCCCCACACUGGUACUGAGAUACGGACCAGACUCCUACGGGAGGCAGCAGUAGGGAAUAUUGGUCAAUGGGCGAGAGCCUGAACCAGCCAUGCCGCGUGCAGGAAGACGGCCUUCUGGGUUGUAAACUGCUUUUCUACGGGAAGAAAAUGCCCUUGCGAGGGAAAUUGCCGGUACCGUAGGAAUAAGCACCGGCUAACUCCGUGCCAGCCGCCGCCGUAACAC
rnacentral:rRNA from 1 species